GCCGAGUACCCACAGUGUACCCUACCUAUUCACUCGUAAUGAAUAGGUCGUCGGUUCGAUUCCGACAGGCGGCUCCA
rnacentral:tRNA from 1 species